UUGGUUGGUGUAGCUCAAUUGGUAGAGCAUCAGCCUGGGGUACUGAGAGCGUCUAGUUCGGUUCUGGUCGCUCUCCCAAA